rnacentral:rRNA from 1 species
UGGGGAAUUUUGGACAAUGGGCGAAAGCCUGAUCCAGCAAUGCCGCGUGUGUGAAGAAGGCCUUCGGGUCUGAUAAGCACUUUUGUCCGGAAAGAAAUCCUUGGCUCUAAUACAGUCGGGGGAUGACGGUACCGGAAGAAUAAGCACCGGCUAACUACGUGCCAGCAGCCGCGGUAAUACGUAGGGUGCAUGAGCUGUAAUCGGAAUUACUGGGCGUAAAGCGUGCGCAGGCGGUUUGCUAAGACCGAUGUGAAAUCCCCGGGCUCAACCUGGGAACUGCAUUGGUGACUGGCAGGCUAGAGUAUGGCAGAGGGGGGUAGAAUUCCACGUGUAGCAGUGAAAUGCGUAGAGAUGUGGAGGAAUACCGAUGGCGAAGGCAGCCCCCUGGGCCAAUACUGACGCUCAUGCACGAAAGCGUGGGGAGCAAACAGGAUUAGAUACCCUGGUAGUCCACGCCCUAAACGAUGUCAACUAGUUGUUGGGGAUUCAUUUCCUUAGUAACGUAGCUAACGCGUGAAGUUGACCGCCUGGGGAGUACGGUCGCAAGAUUAAAACUCAAAUGAAUUGACGGGGUCAUAGCUGUUUCCU